AGCUUUGAGCAGUGGCAGUAUCAUAGCCAAAGAGGUUUAUCAGAGGUGGGAUUACUGCUAAUUGAAAAUUUUAUAUAAACUAAUUAGAUAUUCUAUGUAAAGUGGACAAAUUUCUAGAAAUACACAAACCCCCAAAAUUGAU